UUGGGUUAAGUCCCGCAACGAGCGCAACCCUCGCCGUUAGUUGCCAGCACGUUUGGGUGGGCACUCUAACGGGACUGCCGGUGUCAAACCGGAGGAAGGUGGGGAUGACGUCAAGUCAUCAUGGCCCUUACGCGCAGGGCUACACACGUGCUACAAUGGCAGUGACAAUGAGUUAAUCUCUAAAAGCUGUCUCAGUUCGAAUUGGGGUCUGCAACUCGACCCCAUGAAGUCGGAAUCGCUAGUAAUCGUGGAUCAGCAUGCCACGGUGAAUACGUUCCCGGGCCUUGUACACACCG
rnacentral:rRNA from 1 species